rnacentral:rRNA from 1 species
GACGAACGCUGGCGGCGUGCUUAACACAUGCAAGUCGAACGGAAAGGCCCUGCUUUUGUGGGGUGCUCGAGUGGCGAACGGGUGAGUAACACGUGAGUAACCUGCCCUUGACUUUGGGAUAACUUCAGGAAACUGGGGCUAAUACCGGAUAGGAGCUCCUGCUGCAUGGUGGGGGUUGGAAAGUUUCGGCGGUUGGGGAUGGACUCGCGGCUUAUCAGCUUGUUGGUGGGGUAGUGGCUUACCAAGGCUUUGACGGGUAGCCGGCCUGAGAGGGUGACCGGCCACAUUGGGACGGAGAUAAGGCCCAGACUCCUACGGGAGGCAGCAGUGGGGAAUAGUGCACAAUGGGCGGAAGCCUGAUGCAGCAACGCCGCGUGCGGGAUGACGGCCUUCGGGUUGUAAACCGCUUUCGCCUGUGACGAAGCGUGAGUGACGGUAAUGGGUAAAGAAGCACCGGCUAACUACGUG